rnacentral:rRNA from 1 species
GACGAACGCUGGCGGCGUGCUUAACACAUGCAAGUCGAACGGUAAGGCACCUUCGGGGGUACCCGAGUGGCGGACGGGUGCGUAACACGGGGGUGAUCUGCCCUGCACUUCGGGAUAUGCCUGGGAAACUGGGUCUAAUACCGGAUAGGACCACGCUCAGCUUGGAGUGUGAUGGAAAGCUCUUGCGGUGUGGGAUGGGCCCGGGGCCUAUUAGCUUGUUAGUGGGGUGAUGGCAUACCAAGGCACCGACGGGUAGACGACCUGAGAGUGUGUCCGGCCACAAUGGGACUGCGGGACGGCCCAGACUCCUACGGGAGGCAGCAGUGGGGAAUAUUGUCCAAUGGGCGCAAGCCGGAUGCAGCGACGCCGCGUGUGGGAUGACGGCCUUCGGGGUGUAAACCUCAUCCAGUAACGACGAAGCGGAAGUGACGGUAGGUACAGAAGAAGCACCGGCCAACUACGUG